rnacentral:rRNA from 1 species
ACGAACGCUGGCGGCAUGCCUAACACAUGCAAGUCGAACGAGAUCUUUCGGGGUCUAGUGGCGCACGGGUGCGUAACGCGUGGGAAUCUGCCUUGGGGUAUGGAAUAACUCAGAGAAAUUUGAGCUAAUACCAUAUGAAGUCUUCGGACCAAAGAUUUAUCGCCCUGAGAUGAGCCGGCGUAGGAUUAGCUAGUUGGUGGGGUAAAGGCCUACCAAGGCGACGAUCCUUAGCUGGUCUGAGAGGAUGAUCAGCCACACUGGGACUGAGACACGGCCCAGACUCCUACGGUGGGCAGCAGGGAGGAAUAGUGGACGAUGGGCGCAAGCCUGAUCCAGCAAUACCAGGGGAGUGAAGAAGUCAUUCGGCUUGUAGAGCGGUUUUGUUGGAAAAGAAGAGCAGCAUGUUAACACCCCGCUGUUCUGACGGUACCCAAAGAAUAAGCACGGGCUAACUUCGUG